AUGAUUCGGAUCCCGUGCUGCUGUGGCUGUGGUGUAAGCCGGCAGCUGCGGCCGUCGCAAGGCGAGUGCGCAGGCGCGCUCUUCCACCCUUUAUUUUGCAGGAGUAGGAAGACUCAGCGUGGCACUUGGGAGAAGAAUGAAGGCAAUGCCUGCCUGGCACUGAGCUCCGAGGGGUGGGGCGGAUACAGGGACGUCUGCUGUGGACACACCCCCUUCUUUUCUGGGGACUCGGUGCCUGGGAACCAAGCUGUAAAGUGGAUCCUGUUUUCCUCGGGACAACCCUCUGGGUCAGAGUUUGCAAUCAGUCCAUGCCAUGCUUCUGCCAGUGGAACAAAGACACCACAACCACUGACCUUGAUGUCUGUUUAAACAGCCAGGCAUCAAGCUCCAGGCACCAAGGUGGGCAGGCCACCUGGCGGGGACAAGGGCCAGGCCAUCUGAUGCUCUAAGAAGCACACACAUGGCCUGGGAUGUCAGAUAACUCCAUGCCACCACACUGUGGCCUUUCCAAAGCCCCGACUGCAGAAGAACAGAUAGAGCCAGCCACCUUCUGGGAACUGAGACAGGCUGUGCCGGGAGUUUGGAUCCAUCCUUUGUCCUAAGGUCUGCAGCCAGUCUCUCUGUGCCUCUAGCCAGCUGCCCACGGAGCCCACAGAUGCCAUCAGUAUCAGUCCUUUGUUCAGCCUCACACAGCCCCGCAGCGUCUUGUUUGCAGAUAACAGCUUGGGAAGAUGACGGUAAGGACACUGAGGAAUGUUCGGAAGGGAGAAAAGCAUAUUUGCCCACAUCCCACUCUCCUCAUCCUCACCUUCCUUUUUGUCUUCUCCAUUCUGGCCAGGAACCCAGACAAAAAUCUUGAUCAAAGGAGAGUGCAGAGAGACCACCUUGGGGGGUGUGCUUUAUCUUUCUGGGCUUUUCUUGGUCACAGGUGUUUUGCCAUAGGGCUGUGUGGUCUUCACACUGAUCAUCUUUUUAAAAAAAGUUUUGGCCACACCUGCAGUAUGCAGAAGUUCCCGGGCCAGGGAUUGAAUCUGAUCACAGCAGUGACAAUGCUGGGUCCUUAACCUGCUGAGCCACCAGGGAACUCUUAUACUGAUCAUCUUAAUGGAUGCCUUAGAGUCGUUUGACUGGG
rnacentral:tRNA from 1 species